rnacentral:rRNA from 1 species
AAACGACUCUCGGCAACGGAUAUCUCGGCUCUUGCAUCGAUGAAGAACGUAGCGAAAUGCGAUACUUGGUGUGAAUUGCAGAAUCCCGUGAACCAUCGAGUCUUUGAACGCAAGUUGCGCCCGAAGCCUUUAGGCCAAGGGCACGUCUGCCUGGGCGUCACAC